rnacentral:rRNA from 1 species
GAUGAACGCUGGCGGCGUGCCUAAUACACGCAAGUCGAGCGAACGGACGAGAAGCUUGCUUCUCUGAUGUUUGCGGCGGACGGGUGAGUCACACGUGUAUACCCUACCUAUACGACUGGGAUCACUUCGAGAAACCGGAGCUAAUACCGGAUAAUAUUUUGAACCACAUGGUUCAAAAGUGAAAGACGGUCUUGCUGUUACUUAUAGAUGGUUCCGCGCUGCAUUAGCUAGUUGGUAAGGUAACGGCUUACCAAGGCAACGAUGCAUAGCCGACCUGAGAGGGUGAUCGGCAACACUGGAACUGAGACACGGUCAAGACUCCUACGGGAGGCAGAAGUAGGGAAUCUUCCGAAAGGGGCGAAAGCCUGACGGAGAAAGGCGGCGGGAGGGAGGAAGGUCUUCGGAUCGUAAAACUCUGUUAUUAGGGAAGAACAUAUGUGUAAGUAACUGUGCACAUCGUGACGGUACCUAAUCAGAAAGCCACGGCUAACUACGUG